rnacentral:lncRNA from 10 species
AGAGACGGGGUUUCAUCCUGUUGGCCAGGCUGGUCUUGAACUCCUGACCUCAUGAUCCACCCACCUUGGCUUCCCAAAGUGCUGGGAUUAUAGGCGUGAGGCACCGUGCCCAGCCCUGGGCCUUUUUUUUUUUUUCUUUUUAUAGCUAUCUUUUUCCUGCAGUAAUUUUUUAAAUUUUUAAAUUCUUGACAUUAUAGAACUAAACUGAAAUUUAUUAACAUUCCAGUCUUACAUUUCUUAUUGACAAACAGAAAUAACAUUCAUGGGUCAAAAAACUCCAAGCAAAGCUAAAACCAGGGAAAAGCUUGUAAUACUAAAUAUGGGUUUCAACAUUGACAGCUGAACAGAGAAUAUUAUUUUAAAAUUCUUAGCAGAUGAUAAAGAUGUAGAAACUGAAUACUUACAAAUUAUUUACAACAUGGAUUCUGACUCUGUAGCCU